rnacentral:rRNA from 1 species
CAAAUCCGUACCCGAAACCGACACAGGUGGGAUGGUAGAGAAUACCCAGGCGCUUGAGAGAACUGUUCUGAAGGAACUCGACAAAUUGCACCCGUAACUUCGGAAGAAGGGUGACCCGUUAGUACGCAAGUAUUGGCGGGUGGCACAGACUAGGGGGUGGCGACUGUUUAUCUAAAGCACAGGGCUCUGCGAAGUCGCGAGACGACGUAUAGGGUCUGACGCCUGCCCGGUGCUGGAAGGUUAAGAGGAGAUGUGCAAGCAUUGAAUCGAAGCCCCAGUAAACGGCGGCCGUAACAAUAACGGUCCUAAGGUAGCGAAAUUCCUUGUCGGGUAAGUUCCGACCUGCACGAAUGGCGUAACGAUCUCCCCACUGUCUCCAGAACAGACUCAGCGAAAUUGAAUUCCCCGUGAAGAUGCGGGGUUCCUACAGUUAGACGGAAAGACCCUAUGAACCUUUACUAUAGCUUUGCAGUGGCACGCCGAUUUUCUUGUGCAGAAUAGGUGGGAGACUUUGAAGCAGACACGUCAGUGUCUGUGGAGUCGCCGUUGAGAUACCACCCUGGAAUCUCUGCGUGUCUAACCAAGUCCAGUUAUCCUGGACUGGGACCCUGCAUGGUGGGUAGUUUGACUGGGGCGGUCGCCUCCCAAACAGUAACGGAGGCGCGCGAUGGUGGGCUCAGGACGGUCGGAAAUCGUCUGUGGAGUGCAAUGGCAUAAGCCCGCCUGACUGCGAGACUGACAAGUCGAGCAGAAUCGAAAGAUGGUCAUAGUGAUCCGGUGAUUCCAUAUGGAAGGGUCAUCGCUCAACGGAUAAAAGGUACUCUAGGGAUAACAGGCUGAUAGCGCCCAAGCGUCCACAGCGACGGCGCUGUUUGGCACCUCGAUGUCGACUCAUCUCAUCCUGGGGCUGGGGAAGGUCCCAAGGGUAUGGCUGUUCGCCAUUUAAAGAGGUACGUGAGUUGGGUUCAGAACGUCGUGAGACAGUUCGGUCCCUAUCUGCUGUAGGUGUUGGAGUCUUGAGAAGAGCUGUCCCUAGUACGAGAGGACCAGGAUGGACGCACCUCUGGUGUACCUGUUGUUCCGCCAGGAGCAUCGCAGGGUAGCUAUGUGCGGACGGGAUAACUGCUGAAAGCAUCUAAGCAGGAAGCCUCCUUCAAAACUAGGACUCCCUAUCAGAGCCGUUAUAGACCAUGACGUUGAUAGGACAGAUGUGGAAGCUCCGUAAGGAGUGAAGCUAACUGUUACUAAUUGCCC